UGGGGAAUUUUGGACAAUGGGCGCAAGCCUGAUCCAGCCAUGCCGCGUGAGUGAAGAAGGCCUUCGGGUUGUAAAGCUCUUUCAGACGGAAAGAAAUCUCUCAGGAUAAUACAUUGGGAGGAUGACGGUACCGUAAGAAGAAGCACCGGCUAACUACGUGCCAGCAGCCGCGGUAAUACGUAGGGUGCGAGCGUUAAUCGGAAUUACUGGGCGUAAAGCGUGCGCAGGCGGUGAUGUAAGACAGAUGUGAAAUCCCCGGGCUCAACCAGGGAACUGCGUUUGUGACUGCAUCAAUCGAAUACAGCAUAGGGAGGUGGAAUUCCGCGUGUAACAGUGAAAAGCGUAGAUAUGCGGAGGAACACCGAUGGCGAAGGCAGCCUCCUGGGCCAGUACUGACGCUCAAGCACGGAAGCGUGGGGAACAAACA
rnacentral:rRNA from 1 species